rnacentral:rRNA from 1 species
UACGAAGGGGGGCUAGCGUUGCUCGGAAUCACUGGGCGUAAAGGGCGCGUAGGCGGCGUUUUUAAGUCGGGGGGUGAAAGCCUGUGGCUCAACCACAGAAUGGCCUUCGAUACUGGGACGCUUGAGUAUGGUAGAGGUUGGUGGAACUGCGAGUGUAGAGGUGAAAUUCGUAGAUAUUCGCAAGAACACCGGUGGCGAAGGCGGCCAACUGGACCAUUACUGACGCUGAGGCGCGAAAGCGUGGGGAGCGAACGGG